rnacentral:rRNA from 1 species
UACGGGGGGUGCGAGCGUUGUCCGGAAUCACUGGGCGUAAAGGGCGCGUAGGUGGUUUGAUAAGGGUGUGGUGAAAGUCCGGGGCUCAACCCCGGAUCUGCCGUGCCGACUGUCAAACUCGAGGACUGUAGAGGCAGACGGAAUUCCGGGUGUAGCGGUGGAAUGCGUAGAUAUUGCUCGGAAGGCCAACGGCGAAGGCAGGUUACUGGUGCGCAACUGACACUGAGGCACGAAAGCGUGGGGAGCAAACAGG